rnacentral:rRNA from 1 species
UACGAGAGGCCCAAACGUUAUUCGGAAUUACUGGGCUUAAAGAGUUCGUAGGCGGCGCAGAAAGUAGGGUGUGAAAGCCCUCGGCUUAACCGAGGAAUUGCGCUCUAAACUACUGUGCUUGAGGAACCUAGAGGUGAGCAGAACUGAUGGUGGAGCGGUGAAAUGCGUUGAUAUCAUCAGGAAUACCGGAGGCGAAGGCGGCUCACUGGGGGUUUUCUGACGCUGAGGAACGAAAGCCAGGGGAGCAAACGGG